rnacentral:lncRNA from 10 species
GAAGUUUUUUCCUUGAGGAUGAAAAGCUCUUAACCUUGCACGUUUGGCUUCUUCUAUUCAAUUUUUUUAAAAGCAGAGAUAGGGAGCUCACAGAAUCCUCCCCACAAAGCCGAGAAGCAGGAAGCAGCAACCCUCCCAGAUGAAGAAGCGAAGGCUCGGAAAAGCUAAGUAACUUCUCCAAGCUGACGCAGCUCGUGAGAGGAGGGACUGGGAUUCAAAUCCCUGCAGGGGGAGACCAGCAGCCCCGACUUCAGCCGCCAUGCCUCCUGCCUGAGAAGCUAGCUGCGAAGGUUCCAGAAGGAGACUGCCCUCCGGGAACAGAAACAGCGCAUGACUGCGACCUGUCUGCAAAAAUCUUGAUCACUUGUAAAUCCUUCUCCACCUGAUAAGUUAUCACAUUGGCUCAUGAUGUUUUUUUUCAUUCUCAGUGAGUUCAAAAUACUAUUUUGGUUUGUCUCAGUUUCUUCCUCUCUCUCUCUCU